rnacentral:rRNA from 1 species
UAUUUAUUAGAUAAAAAACCAAUGCCCUUCGGGGCUCCUUGGUGAUUCAUAAUAACUUAACGAAUCGCAUGGCCUUGCGCCGGCGAUGGUUCAUUCAAAUUUCUGCCCUAUCAACUUUCGAUGGUAAGAUAGUGGCUUACCAUGGUCUCAACGGGUAACGGGGAAUUAGGGUUCUAUUCCGGAGAGGGAGCCUGAGAAACGGCUACCACAUCCAAGGAAGGCAGCAGGCGCGCAAAUUACCCAAUCCCAAUUCGGGGAGGUAGUGACAAUAAAUACUGAUACGGGGCUCUUUCGGGUCUCGUAAUUGGAAUGAGUACAAUCUAAAUCCCUUAACGAGGAACAAUUGGAGGGCAAGUCUGGUGCCAGCAGCCGCGGUAAUUCCAGCUCCAAUAGCGUAUAUUAAAGUUGUUGCCGUUAAAAAGCUCGUAGUUGAACCUUGGACCUGGCUGAUCUGUCCUCCUAAUCGAGCGCACGGAUCCGGUCGGGUCUUUCCUUCUGGGGAGCCCUAUGCCCUUCACUGGGUGUAGUGGGGAACCAGGACUUUUACCUUGAAAAAAUUAGAGUGUUCAAAGCAGG